rnacentral:rRNA from 1 species
UACGUAGGGUGCAAGCGUUAAUCGGAAUUACUGGGCGUAAAGCGUGCGCAGGCGGUGAUGUAAGACAGGUGUGAAAUCCCCGGGCUUAACCUGGGAACUGCAUUUGUGACUGCAUCGCUGGAGUGCGGCAGAGGGGGAUGGAAUUCCGCGUGUAGCAGUGAAAUGCGUAGAUAUGCGGAGGAACACCGAUGGCGAAGGCGGCUCACUGGCUCGUAACUGACGCUCAGGCGCGACAGCGUGGGGAUCAAACAGG